CAACCAUCUAGCUCUCCAUCUCCAUCUCCACUCACGGUGUGUACCCUCAAUCCCCGGAAUAGAACGAUCCCUAUUUGCUUAUACUACUAACGAUAAUUUCAGGGUUAAAUUAUACGCUUACUUUUAGUGUAUCAACAACCCCCUCUUGCCUUUCAACCUUCCAGCCAAAAUGAUGAGCGUAGUUACAUGGGUAACGCUUGCCCUGCAUAUAAACACAAUGGAUAAAUAAAAAUGACAUUGUGUUAUGAAAUCCAAAAGCAAGUACACUCCCUUUCCAUCCUUCUGUUUGAGUAAAUAAUUUUUUCAGGUCUUCUUACUUUUCAGUUAUGCUCCACUUUAUUACAACAUGUGAUUAGGUUUGAUUUGGCUAUAGGAUUUUGGAGAUUUGCCAAAUCUUACUACAAUUUAAUAAAUUGAUGAGCAUAAAUUAUCAGAUGUUCUUGUCUGCCUAAAAUGAGAUAGUUAGAAUUGCCUAAACUAUAAUCUAUCAGUUAGGUAGGUUUCUACACAUACUAUGGAAUUCCCUGCAAGUCUAGCUAUACAUUCAUUAACUUUAAAUCAAUAAUGCUUUCCUUUGCCAUUUUUUGAAAUCAGACUGUUAACAUUGAUUCUCAUGGCCUUUCACUAAUAACAAGACUCAAGGUUAAAACCACAUAAUGUUUAUUGAACUGUUGUUAGAAAUAAGCAGUGACUCUUAACGUCUGUGGUAUUCAAUCCUCCUUUCUAAUUUUUAAGAGAUGGACAGGCAUGCAGAUUAUACAAAAGAAAGAAAAGAAAAAAAAUUGUAUGUGCACAAUGUUUAUACUCUUCUAUUAGUUUUAAUAUUCUCAAUUGAGCAUACGAAGAUCUUAGAUUGCCUUAAAAAAAAAAAGCAGGAAAUAUAUGUGAAAUUUGUGGUAUAGGACACAGUUUACAAA